rnacentral:sRNA from 1 species
GCCAUUCGAUCGUAUUUAGAAGAUAGCCACCCACUCGGAAGGGAAAGCUACAGUGGCCGAAGAAGCUGUGAUCUUUCAAGCAGGGCGCUGCCACUGGAGCACAGAGGAGGGUAUACAGAAGACAGCACGGACUGGAAGAAAGACUGAUGAAGAGAAGUAACGGCAUGAUUGAGGUUGAAGGCAGGGUGAGUGGUGCCGGAGGACAGACCUC